UCUGGCUUUGUGCCACACCAGCCAUUGCCCUAGCAUGACUCUCCUCCUUCCAUUGGAUUCUGCUCUCAAGUCAGCAUCAUCUUGCCAAAGAAGCAUAAACCACAAGCUCUGGGGAAGCUGGUUUGUCUGUCUCACAAGCAGGCCUCAAAGUCUCCUGGCUACCUUUCUAAAUUUCCCUGGAUGAGGGGUGAUCACCUGGUCAAACAGAUAUCUCUCCAGUGCACGAGACCAGACUGCUGCAGAAGUCUAUUGUUGCCUUUUCUUUGACUUCUUUGAGUGUGAUCAUGGGAGGGCAUGUUGAGAUGCUCUUCUAUCAGCCUGGGCCCUGAUUAGG